rnacentral:hammerhead_ribozyme from 1 species
AUCCAGCUGACGAGUCCUAAAUAGGACGAGCCGCGCGCUCUGGAU